rnacentral:lncRNA from 1 species
GUGUUAUAAUGCAUCAGCUAAACUCACAUGUUCGCAGGCAAGGUUAUUUCAUUUAGGAUGUUUUUUUAGUCAUAUGGAAAUGUUUCUGGACUAAUACUUCUUAGUUUUCCAUUUUUAUUUUUUUUUCUUUCCCCCUAGCAGUUGCAUUACAGGAGCAAUAACAGAAGCAGAAACUUGUUGAAGCAAUUUUCCUGUUUCAUUAGAUUGCUCAUGAGGAUCACCACAGGGAGAACUUCAGUGUCCCAGAUGGGAUUAAGCUGGUUGAUCAGAAGUUUGGCUAAUGACUGGAAACAAACCCAAUGCAUCUUUACAAGUACAAAACAAGACACUGGAUUUUUCACAGUUGCUUCCUGAGUGCACCUAGCUUCAGAUACUUUCUGAAAACAGUGAUGUUUGUUCAGAAUGCUUCAACAGCUGAAGAACAUUACAGUAUUAAUUUAUGACCCAGCAACUAGGAUUUCUUUUGGACUGUGUUAUUAUAAAGUAGUAUGAGGAUACGUGGGAUAUUGUUCUCACAUCUGGUGUGAGUCAGCCUACAUGGUGCUUUAAUUCUGAGAGAAUAUCUCUAGAUCAAACGAGCUCUGAACUGAAGACAUGCAAGAAGCUAUUGCAACCCUGGGGUCUCAAAUGAAAAAGAAAGCUUAAUUUCUGGUGAAGUACCAAAGCCUCGAAUCUCAAGAGAGCUCUUCUGUGUCAAGCUACUAUAUGGGUUACGGCUGUGAAUGAGGAGAGUUAGCUCUAUUACUUGACCACCUAUAUCAAAGUGAGGUAAUUCUUUUAGCAGUGAGAUUUGACAACAAUUGAAAUUAUAAAUUGUAGCAUUCUGAAACUGUAAAAUACCCUUGUGCUCCUGCCUUGAGACUUCAAGGACAAAUUGCCCACAAUUAGUAUUUGGUCUUAUCUUUAAAAAUUUCAUGUACUUUAUCGAUGGAAUGUUUUAGCUGUAUGUGAUCACCAAAGAGAAAGAAGGAAAAAGGGUAAUUAAACCGAAUUAAAGAUGUUCUUGUUUUCCAGGAAAUUGGGGUAAUAUUUCAGGUUUUGUAUUAUUUUUUUUUUUCCUAGGGUAAACAUACAUUUCUAUUCUCUCUCAGGGAGUGGUCAGGCACUGGGAUAGCCUGUCCAGGGAGGUGGUGGAGUUGACAUCCCUGGCAGUGUUUAAGAGGCAUCUGGAUGAGAAGCUAUGAG